rfam:Fukomys damarensis contig114729, whole genome shotgun sequence.
CUAAAGGCUCUUUUCAGAGCCACCCACUCUUUCUAGAAAGAACUGG